GGUGCCUCCGGCGCGGGCGCUGGGCCUUUGCGAAGUUCUCCCGGAUCUCUGGGUGCGUCCAGGCGGAGGGAGCCUGCACCUGGAGCUUACCUGGGGAUGGGGAGGGCGCAGGUCACAGAGGGAGCGCCCGUGCAGGGCUGCUCUUCCCUGGAUGGGGGGAUCCCGUAGCGAGUCUUGGAGCAUUUGGGGCAAGUUCGCGGCUCCCGCGUCUCCACCGCACAGCCCUGGACUGGAUAAGAGGGCGUGGCUAAGAGAGACGUUCUGAUGAAAGUCCCCAAACCCGGGGUUCCAAGGGGUCCCAAUGCCUUUCCCCGGGUCAGCCAAAGUGUGGCAGCAGACAAGCACGAGCUCCUGCCUCGUCUUGGCCCCAAACCUCUGGUCCUGUCCUGACCCAGCAGGGACCACCUGUGUGGAUGGAAGGUGGAGCGACCCCUUGGCUCCGUCCCUACAACUAUGGGGUCCCGCUCCCAAUGUGGGGCUGGCUGUCCAAGACCCGAAAUCCCAGUUUUGAGCGCCUCGUCCCAGCCACGAGGUCCCCAGAGCCUAUCUUGAACUCCGAGGAAUGCACAUUCACAGCCCGAGACUCUUGUCGGAGCUGGGACCACCCUGAGGCCACCAGAAAUCGAUUCUAAAGUAGUUCGGCAUUUCCAGUGGAGAUUAUAGGAUAGGGCCCAGUGGCGCUGGUGUCUGAGGGAGGUGGGUGCGACUCUCUUGAGGAGAACUGAGCUCCCCAGAGCCUUGUCGCUGGAGGACUUUUGCCUCCGCCCUCUCUGCGCAACAGAAAUGUACAGCUCCUUGUGGUGGCAGAAAUUGAAUGGGCAUGGCAGGGCGCAGCGUGCGGAACAUUCACUAGGAGGAGACCACCUGGUAUUAUGGCUAUUGUCAUUUUUAUUUUGCACAGGUGCAGCCACCUGAGCUGGGAGGCAGGGUGAGAGAGAAGGCAGAAGAGAGCUCCAGGCGCAGCGUGCAGACUAAGGCGUGCAUCUAUCUUGGACCACAAAGUGAUCUUGGGCAUGGAAAUUCUGCACAGGGAAACAACAAGAGAAGAGAAUCCAGGCACCGCAUUUUGGAGUCCUGUUUGAUAUCCAAAAGUAAGAAGUUCAAAUUUGAUUCUAACCUAGAGGAGGUGUUUGGAGGGUUUUAAGCCAAGGAGGUACGCGCCUUGUUCACGAUUUUAAAGGCUGGCUUUGGCCACGAUGAGGGAUCAGGCACUAAGAGCCCCAGGGUGGAGGAAGGACAGCUGGUUGAGGGCUCCCGCAGUUAUCCAGGUAGAAGGUGGCCGGUGGGUGGAGGUGGUGGAGGGAGUGGGAAGUGUGGGAACUGCAGGUGGAUGGACAAAGGCAAACAUCCUGGGAGAAUGGAGAGGUGGGAGUGGCCAUGUUACAGUUUGCAGUUCGCCUUCAGAGCAAUGGGAAGUUACAUGAAGAACACCAAUCUUGAGUUUUAGAAAGUGACAACUUGAUGGGAAGAGCCCACCGUGACCACUGGGAGACUGGUGAAGAGGCACUUGAAGUGGUCCAUGAGAGAUCCCGUAGCCAUGGGAAACCCCGGAGAGAGUCUUAGGCUAUGAACAUGGGAUCUUGCUUGGGAAUUAAAGCACCCACUCUAGGAAGCCGGGAGUAAAAUGGCAAGCGCAGUGGUCCCAAAGACAGGAGUUUCUUCAAAGCCCUUACCUCCUCUUCCACUCACCUCCUACACUUGUGUCCUUGCUCAAGGGUUUAUGGCCACCUGGGACUAACAUUGGCUCUUUGAAAAACAAGACUUAUUCCCAUCUUGCCACUUCUUUCUUCACUGUCAGGCUUGAAAGCCCUUCCUUCUGAUGUUGCCUGUCUGGUUUCUCCUCAUUCCCUGGGUCUCACCUUUCCAGGGAAGCCUUCUCUGAAUGGUCUGAAGACUUCCCACACCAGUCUUUUCUUGUCCCAUGCCCAGUGUCACUGUCUCCAGAGCAUUCAUGCCAAUCCAAUUUAAUCUUAGUUUUGCUUAUAUUUAAAACGUGUUUAUGUAUCUAUUACCUGAGUUUCCUGCUAGACUAUCAGCACCACGAGAACAAAGAGUGAGCCAGAGAACCCACCCUGGAUCCUCGGUGCCCCGGACAGUGCCUGCUUUGUCGUCGAAUGACUUCACCUUCGGAUCUGAGAUCCAGUAGUUAAUUCUUGGACCACGGGAAACUAAGUUCUGCCAACAACCACAUGGGAUUUGAAGAAGAUCUUGAGUCUCCAGACGAGAGUGCCUCCUGAGCAACACUGUGAUUGCAACCUGGUCUAAGACCCUGGGCUGAGGACCCAGUUAGCCCAGACCUGGACUCGUGGACAGCAGAAACAUGGAGAUAUAAUCAUAAACCCUGGAGUUGCACCUGCUUGCCGAGUGUGUGGAACUGUGCUUGGCCAUCUGUAACCUUUUGGUGCUCAAUAAUUUAUUAUAAUUACAGGCUGUUAAAGAUGGCAAUAAAAGAAAAAAAAGAGAGAGAAUUGUAUCUGGAAUUAUACAUGAAAAUGAGUACUUAUGUUUAAUGUUUUUAAUGGGAGAAUCUUGUUUUAUGGUGGCUUCAUGUUUCAGAAAAAAGAAAAAAG